ensembl:lncRNA novel transcript, antisense to LRRK1
CUGGCCUGGUGAAGGAGGCACGAGGAAGAUUGCAGUCAGGGACGCUCAGCCUGGGAGCUGACCCUCAGAUCCAGGGAUCCCAGCAGCCUUAGAAAGCUGAUGAUGCCAGGAGCGGGGACUUGCCUGGGGCUCAAGGGAACCAUUAUGCCUGUGCUGAGAUGAAACGUGUCCCACUAUUCCUGGAUGUGUACAGAACCCGACACCAUGGCUAUGAGUACCUACCACGAAGAAACAGUAACAAUAACUGGACUGUCAAUACUGGAUGUCUUGGGAGCUUAAGAGACACUGUUCUGAGUAUUUUACAUGUAUUUGUCAGUGGCUGUUCCCAUGCAGGAGGCCCUGGGACAUGCCUGCUACUGUUUCUUUCUGCUGGUCUGAAUAUUUUACAUGUAUUAUCUAAUUUAAUCCUCACAACAACUAUCAUACUUAUGGUAAUUAUAUUAUACCCAUUAUGCAGACGAGAAAGAAGGUAGUUGGGAUUCAUACUUGUG